rnacentral:rRNA from 1 species
AUUGAACGCUGGCGGCAUGCUUUACACAUGCAAGUCGAACGGUAACAGGGUGCUUGCACCGCUGACGAGUGGCGAACGGGUGAGUAAUGCGUCGGAACGUGCCGAGUAGUGGGGGAUAACGCAGCGAAAGUUGUGCUAAUACCGCAUACGUACUGAGGUAGAAAGUGGGGGACCUUCGGGCCUCACGCUAUUCGAGCGGCCGACGUCUGAUUAGCUAGUAGGUGGGGUAAAGGCUCACCUAGGCGACGAUCAGUAGCGGGUCUGAGAGGAUGAUCCGCCAAACUGGGACUGAGACACGGCCCAGACUCCUACGGGAGGCAGCAGUGGGGAAUUUUGGACAAUGGGCGAAAGCCUGAUCCAGCCAUGCCGCGUGUCUGAAGAAGGCCUUCGGGUUGUAAAGGACUUUUGUCAGGGAGGAAAUCCCUAGCGUUAAUACCGCUGGGGGAUGACAGUACCUGAAGAAUAAGCACCGGCUAACUACGUGCCAGCCGCCGCCGUAACAC